AGUGAACGCUGGCGGCGUGCUUAACACAUGCAAGUCGAACGCGAAAGGGUAGCAAUACCCGAGUAGAGUGGCGAACGGGUGAGUAAUGUGUGGGUAAUCUGCCUUGCUGAGUGGGAUAACCCGGCGAAAGCUGGGCUAAUACCGCAUGACAUUGUUUCAAUAAUUUUGAGACGAUCAAAGGAUGGCCUCUGCUUGCAAGCUAUCGCAGUAAGAUGAGCCCACAUCCUAUCACGCUUGUUGGUGGGGUAAAGGCCCACCAAGGCGACGACGGGUAGCCGGCCUGAGAGGGUGUCCGGCCACACUGGAACUGAGACACGGUCCAGACUCCUACGGGAGGCAGCAGUGGGGAAUUUUUCGCAAUGGGCGUAAGCCUGACGAAGCAACGCCGCGUGGAGGAUGAAGGCCCUAGCGGUCGUAAACUCCUGUCUAGCGGGACGAAACUCUGCUGUGUGAAUAAGACAGCAGAUUGACUGUACCGCUGGAGGG
rnacentral:rRNA from 1 species